UGAGGAAUAUUGGACAAUGGGCGCAAGCCUGAUCCAGCCAUGCCGCGUGCAGGAAGAAGCAUCCUUGGUGUGUAAACUGCUUUUGUACGGGAAGAAACACUCCUUCGUGAAGGAGCUUGACGGUACCGUAAGAAUAAGGAUCGGCCAACUCCGUGCCAGCAGCCGCGGUAAUACGGAGGAUCCAAGCGUUAUCCGGAAUCAUUGGGUUUAAAGGGUCCGUAGGCGGUUUAGUAAGUCGGUGGUGAAAGCCCAUCGCUCAACGAUGGAACGGCCAUUGAUACUGCUAGACUUGAAUUAUUAGGAAGUAACUAGAAUAUGUAGUGCAGCGGUGAAAUGCUUAGAUAUUACGUGGAAUACCAAUUGCGAAGGCAGGUUACUACUAAUGGAUUGACGCUGAUGGACGAAAGCGUGGGGAGCGAACA
rnacentral:rRNA from 1 species